rnacentral:lncRNA from 1 species
CUCCAGCGCAACUCCUGCUGCAUAUCUUACUUUCAUCGUAGUUAAUCCUGCACACUUAUCUCAACAUAUAGAUUAGAUAACAAAUGACAAUUGACUUCAUCAUCAAAAUCCUAGAUUCAACACUUUUAUUAAAGAUAUGAAAUUCUUUAGAAAUAGAAGAAUAGUAAAAAAAAAUUCCUUCAUCGGAUUUAGCAUCAAAUUUUCC